rnacentral:rRNA from 1 species
UACGUAGGGAGCAAGCGUUGUCCGGAAUUACUGGGUGUAAAGGGAGCGUAGGCGGGGAUGCAAGUUGGGUGUCAAAACUACCGGCUCAACCGAUAGUCGCACUCAAAACUGCAGCUCUUGAGUGAAGUAGAGGCAGGCGGAAUUCCUAGUGUAGCGGUGAAAUGCGUAGAUAUUAGGAGGAACACCAGUGGCGAAGGCGGCCACCUGGACCGGUAUUGACGCUGAGGCGCGAAAGCGUGGGGAGCAAACAGG